rnacentral:lncRNA from 1 species
AGGAUCAUUUUGUGAAGGUUACUGUAAGCAUAUCAGCAUAGUCUUUUGGAGACGAUAAGCAUACAAGCCAGGAAAAAAUUCCAAGAGUCAAACUAUGAAUGAAUGGAUUCAACUUUGAGGCCGGUUCUAAUUUGCGGCUCUAUUUUAUUUUUCGUUGGGAGAGAACCAUCCAUGGAGCUUCAAGAAUUCAUAGUGGUAUGUAAUGAGCAUGGCAUCAUUCUACAAAAAGUUGUACUGAAAUUUUGGGAAGUCGACUCAUCCGAAAAAAAACUCAUCACAGGAUUUAAGAAUUGGUGGUCUUGGGUCUGAUUUAGCUCAUUAAUGCGCCUUAUUCUACUCUUCAAUGAAGAGUAGCCCUAGAAUUUUUUCUGUCCUUUGUUUGAGGGGCCUUCAAAGUGUGUCAACCUCUGCUAAGAUGCUCUUGGUCUUGGGUGACUUUCCUUGCUCUAAAUCUUUCUGUUCUGGAAAAUAUUUAAUUGUCUUUAUUGAGGACCUAUUGCUUGCUGCUUCAUCCUCUCUACUCCUGGGUAUGUGUUUGGCCAAAUGCGUACCGUCUAUUCUAGCGGAAGAGACAAGACCUUUAAGUGCCCCUUCACACAAAAUCAUGAAAUAAAAUGGAACAAGGCCGCACAUAAGCCUCUCGGAAGUGCUAUUG